rnacentral:rRNA from 1 species
GAGUUUGAUCCUGGCUCAGAACGAACGCUGGCGGCAGCCUAAUACAUGCGAGUCGAGCGAUAAAGGUACUUCGGUACUGAUUAAAGCGGCGCACGGGUUAGUAACGCGUGGGAACAUACCUAUCAGAGGGGGAUAACUAUUGGAAACGAUAGCUAAUACCGCAUACGCCCUACGGGGGAAAGAUUUUUCGCUGAUAGAUUGGCCCGCGUUAGAUUAGCUAGUUGGUGAGGUAAGAGCUCACCAAGGCAACGAUCUAUAGCUGGUUUUAGAGAAUGAUCAGCAACACUGGAACUGAGACACGGUCCAGACUCCUACGGGAGGCAGCAGUAGGGAAUAUUGCACAAUGGGGGAAACCCUGAUGCAGCCAUGCCGCGUGAGUGAAGAAGGCUUUAGGGUUGUAAAGCUCUUUCAGAUGUGAGGAUGAUGACGUUAACAUCAGAAGAAGCCCCGGCUAACUUCGUGCCAGCAGCCGCGGUAAUACGAAGGGGGCAAGCGUUGUUCGGAAUUACUGGGCGUAAAGGGCGCGUAGGCGGAUAUACCAGUUAGGGGUGAAAUCCCAGGGCUCAACCCUGGAACUGCCUUUAAUACGAUAUAUCUAGAGAUUGUGAGGGGAUAGCGGAAUAUCUAGUGUAGGGGUGAAAUCCGUAGAUAUUAGAUGGAACACCAGAGGCGAAGGCGGCUAUCUGGCACAAUACUGACGCUGAGGCGCGAAAGCGUAGGUAGCAAACAGGAUUAGAUACCCUGGUAGUCUACGCCGUAAACGAUGUGUACUAGUUGUCUGGGUUUAACCUGGGUAACGCAGCUAACGCAUUAAGUACACCGCCUGGGGAGUACGGUCGCAAGAUUAAAACUCAAAGGAAUGACG